rnacentral:sRNA from 1 species
UCAUAGCCCCGAUGGGAGUGGAAAUCCUGUCUUGUUUUCAACAAGACAGAUUGCAACGGACAGCGGAAAAAGGG